UACGGAGGGUGCAAGCGUUGUUCGGAAUUACUGGGCGUAAAGAGCGCGUAGGCGGUUUGUUCAGUCUGAUGUGAAAGCCCUCGGCUUAACCGGGGAAGUGCAUUGGAUACUGGCAGACUAGAGUACGAGAGGGGGAUGUGGAAUUCCAGGUGUAGCGGUGAAAUGCGUAGAUAUCUGGAGGAACACCGGUGGCGAAGGCGGCAUCCUGGAUCGUAACUGACGCUGAGGCGCGAAAGCAUGGGGAGCAAACAGG
rnacentral:misc_RNA from 1 species